CCUACGGGAGGCAGCAGUGAGGAAUUUUCGGCAAUGGGCGCAAGCCUGACCGAGCAACGCCGCGUGCAGGAGGAAGCUCUUCGGAGUGUAAACUGCUUUUAUCGGGGAAGAGAACAGACGGUACCCGAUGAAGAAGCCCCGGCUAACUACGUGCCAGCAGCCGCGGUAAU
rnacentral:rRNA from 1 species